rnacentral:tRNA from 1 species
GACAGGAUGGCCGAGUGGUCUAAGGCACUGCGUUCAGGUUGCAGUCUCCCCGGAUGUGUGGGUUCAAAAUCCACUCCUGACA